rnacentral:lncRNA from 1 species
AAAAGAAUCAUAUAAAGGUUUAAGAUACACCCUCUAUAGCUAGAUACCCAGUGUAUUCCCAGAUAGCAAAUCAUGCCAUACGACACCGGUAGAUGUAAAUGAUAUGUAACUGGAUUGAUUUGUGUAGAAAUAAAAAAUGGUCCCAACCUUAGAUAGUCCAACUUGUCACAAGAACAAGUGGUCUUAAUAUUGCGACGAAGUAGCCAUACCUUAUCAUCGAAGUAGAAUGGUGGUUAUUCCUUUUAAUAGACAUCUGCAUUGAACUUUUGCUAUUCUUGAGCCUCUAUUAACUGGGCUUUCGUCGUUGCAUGUAGCUUUGACAAAUGAAUCACCAAAUCUUUUGCAGUAGGAUUAUCAACUUUUGAAAAGUCAAA